CCUAACCCUAACCCUAACCCUAAUCCAUAUGUAUGCAAUAACCGUGUUUUAGUUCCAAAGUCCGGAUUCAACGAAAUAUACAAAACUAGGUGUAUGGAAUCUUUUAUAACGACGCACUAAAUCUCUUGUAGUUCAAAGUCCGGAUACAACGAAAUACACAAAACUAGGUUGAUGGAAUCGUUCAUGAUGAUGCACUAACUGAGUUUUAGUUCCAAAGUCCGUAUACUACGAAAUACACAAAACUAGGUUUAUGGAAUCAUUCAUAACGACGCACUAAGUCUCUUGUAGUUGAAAGUCCUGGUACAACGAAAUACACAAAACUAGGUUGAUGGAAUCGUUCAUGAAUAUGCACUAACUGAGUUUUAGUUCCAAAGUCUGUAUCCUUCGAAAUACACAAAACUAGGUUUAUAGAAUCAUUCAUAAUGACGCACUAAGUCUCUUGUAGUUCAAAGUCUUGGUACAACGAAAUACACAAAACUAGGUUGAUGGAAUCGUUCAUGACGAUGCACUAACUGAGUUUUAGUUCCAAAGUCCUUAUACUACGAAAUACACAAAACUAGGUUUAUGGAAUCAUUCAUAACGACGCACUAAGUCUCUUGUAGUUCAAAGUCCUGGUACAACGAAAUACACAAAACUAGGUUUCGGGAAUCGUUCAUAAAAUGACACUGUUGUAGUUCCAAAGUCGGUAUACAACGAAAUACACAUGACUAGGUUUAUGGAAUCAUUCAUAACGACGCACUAAGUCUCUUGUAGUUCAAAGUCCUGGUACAACGAAAUACACAAAACUAGGUUUCGGGAAUCGUUCAUAAAAUGACACUGUUGUAGUUCCAAAGUCGGUAUACAACGAAAUACACAUGACUAGGUUUAUGGAAAAGUUCAAAGAAGCCAAUAACUCUGUUGUAGUUCC
rnacentral:lncRNA from 1 species